rnacentral:lncRNA from 1 species
CCGUGCCAGUCCCUACCCCUAGUGCCCCGCAGCGUGCCAGCCCACUGAUGCCGGCAGGGCCGUUACGCUAUGCCUGUGGCCAGCCUCCCACCUGGGAGAGGACUGGCGGCCAGCGAGGGCAACUUCGUGGGAGAGGUGGUGGCGGGCUCGGGGUUCAGAGGCUGAAGCUGGGUCGCAGCUCGACCGGGGCGCUGAUCUGUGGCUGUCCGUUCCUUGCUGGAGAAUUUGGCCACAAAGAGUUGCCAAGAUAGCUGGGCCAGGAAGAAAGCGCCGCAGCCCUGACCCAGACGCUGUUGCCGACCCCGGGGCACUCUGGCUGUCGACCAAGCGGCUCAAGAUGUCUGGCGGGGCCAGUGCCACAGGCCCAAGGAGAGGGCCCCCAGGACUGGAGGACACCACUAGUAAGAAGAAGCAGAAGGAUCGAGCAAACCAGGAGAGCAAGGAUGGAGAUCCUAGGAAAGAGACAGGGUCUCGAUAUGUUGCCCAGGCUGGUCUUGAACCUCUGGCCUCAGGUGAUCCUUCUGCCUCAGCCUCCCAUGCAGCUGGGAUCACAGGCUCACGCCACCGUACCCGGCUGUUCUUUCCUUCAUCGUCAGGGUCAGCAUCCACUCCUCAAG